rnacentral:lncRNA from 10 species
GCUAAUUUUUUGAUUUUUUAUAGAGACAGGGUCUCACUUUUUGUUGCUCAGGCAAUCCUCCUGCCUCGGCCUCCCAAAGUGCUAGGAUAACAGGCGUGAGCCACUGUGCCCAGCCCUUAUUUAUCUAUGAAUGUACACCCAGCUUCGUUCCAGACACAGGAUGAAGGCAGGUCCUGCCCAAGACUGUGCCGCCAUUAAGUGUCCAGGUGUGAGGUCAGGAGUCAAGGGAACUGCGAGUUUAUACGAGUCACCUGUGCUUCCAGACCCCCAGUUUCCCACUCGGUAGAACAAAGGUGAAAUGUCCUACUAUGGACUUGUUCAAUGAUCAAAUGAGUGCUGGCAUGCCCAAACUUGGUGUGGGCCCUGAGCCGAUGCCUGGGUUCCAGUCCUGCUGACAUUUCUUCACUGCAUAACCCUGGGAAACUUACUAGCACCUGCUCUUCAGAUGCCUCAUCUACAAAUUGAGGACAAUAUCCGCAUCACUGGGAGGUGGUGCGGACUGGGCGAGGACCCUGCACAGGGCCCAGCCUUAUAUAUUAAUCUGUAACCAAUACUUUUGUCUGUUUCCCCUUCUCCCAGGGGGCCAGGCAGGCCUGCUCAGCACCCCACUGCCCGAGCCCAGGCCCUGCUGCCUCUGGGCCUCGCUGCCGGCACUUCUGGAGAACCUGGGUCGGCAGAGCCAGUCAGUGAGGAGGAGAACACAGGCGUUGAAGGAAUUUAUUCAUGAGAAGACUGAGGGUCCAUCAGGGAGA